rnacentral:rRNA from 1 species
GUAGGUGGCAAGCGUUGUCCGGAAUUAUUGGGCGUAAAGCGCGCGCAGGCGGUUCUUUAAGUCUGAUGUGAAAGCCCACGGCUCAACCGUGGAGGGUCAUUGGAAACUGGAGAACUUGAGUACAGAAGAGGAAAGCGGAAUUCCACGUGUAGCGGUGAAAUGCGUAGAGAUGUGGAGGAACACCAGUGGCGAAGGCGGCUUUCUGGUCUGUAACUGACGCUGAGGCGCGAAAGCGUGGGGAGCAAACAGGAUUAGAUACCCUGGUAGUCCACGCCGUAAACGAUGAGUGCUAAGUGUUAGGGGGUUUCCGCCCCCCUUAGUGCUGCAGCUAACGCAUUAAGAACUCCGCCUGGGAGUACGGCCGCAAGGCUG